rnacentral:rRNA from 1 species
GAUGAACGCUAGCGGCAGGCUUAAUACAUGCAAGUCGUGGGGCAGCAGGUUUGUAGCAAUACAGAUGCUGGCGACCGGCAAACGGGUGCGGAACACGUACAGAACCUUCCUUUGAGCGGGGAAUAGCCCAGAGAAAUUUGGAUUAAUACCCCAUAGUAUAAUGAAGUGGCAUCACUUUAUUAUUGAAGAUUUAUCACUCGAAGAUGGCUGUGCGGCUGAUUAGGUAGUUGGCGGGGUAAAGGCCCACCAAGCCUGCGAUCAGUAACUGGUGUGAGAGCACGACCAGUCACACGGGCACUGAGACACGGGCCCGACUCCUACGGGAGGCAGCAGUAAGGAAUAUUGGUCAAUGGAGGCAACUCUGAACCAGCCAUGCCGCGUGGAGGAUGAAGGUCCUCUGGAUUGUAAAC